ACGUAGGUAAUCUACCCUCGGGUGGUGGAUAACAUUCCGAAAGGAGUGCUAAUACAGCAUAACACCGCAAGGACAAAGCGGGCCUCUCUAUAGAAGCUCGCGCCUGAGGACGAGCCUGCGGCCCAUCAGCUAGUUGGCAGUGUAAAAGACUACCAAGGCUAAGACGGGUAGCUGGUCUGAGAGGAUGAACAGCCACACUGGAACUGAGACACGGUCCAGACUCCUACGGGAGGCAGCAGUAGGGAAUCUUGCGCAAUGGGCGAAAGCCUGACGCAGCGACGCCGCGUGAGUGAUGAAGGC
rnacentral:rRNA from 1 species